UACGAAGGGGGCUAGCGUUGUUCGGAAUUACUGGGCGUAAAGCGCGCGCAGGCGGUUUUUCAAGUCAGUGGUGAAAGCCCGGAGCUCAACUCCGGAACUGCCAUUGAAACUGUAAAACUUGAGGACGAGAGAGGUGAGUGGAAUUCCCAGUGUAGAGGUGAAAUUCGUAGAUAUCGAGAGGAACACCGGUGGCGAAGGCGGCAUCCUGGACCAAUAUUGACGCUGAGGAGCGAAAGCCAGGGGAGCAAACGGG
rnacentral:rRNA from 1 species